AUCGAAACUCAAAGAGGUUAGAGAUAAAAAGAAGAAGAAAUCAGACAGAUCUGAUAGUAACAAUAACGAAGGGACCAAGUGCGAAUCCCUGCCGAAUAACGUCGAUCUAAAAUUAAAGGCAAGCGGGCUCAGCUCCUUGGGUGAAACAGAUUUGCUGCUGAAGCUCGGGAAUUCUGGCAAAGGUACAUUGAAUUUGGACGCGAGCGGAAUAUCAAAUGUGGGUAAAGCCCGACUAGACCUGGCUGUCGGGGAAGGCAGUAUUUACGUCCCGGGAUUAAAUAAUUUGUUCGUCGGCAAACCCUUCAUAAAUAACUGCGACAAACAAAACGAAACAGACCUAGCUAAAGAGAGGCCCAUCCAGAAUUUGGGGAACGAAUUAUUAGAUUAUCGCAGAAGUGGUCCAAACGUGAAUGGAGAUAAAUUACCCAAAGAAAAUAACGAUGAAGCGAAUAAAGAAUUAAUAAAAGACGAUCAAAACAAAACAGAAUCGAUAACGACGGUUGGUAUUGAUACGACGGUUGAGAACGGAAAAAGUAAUUUGACUACGACAGUUGCCGUUGAAAAUAACACUGUCGAUUUGGGGAAUACCACAACGAAGGCUUAAUUUGUUUUUAAAUCAAGAUCAGGAAAAAAAAUAAAAAUGAGAAAAGCGUA